UACGAGAGGUCCAAACGUUAUUCGGAAUUACUGGGCUUACAGAGUUCGUAGGCGGCUCUACAAGUGAGGUGUGAAAUCCCUCGGCUUAACCGGGGAACUGCGUCUGAUACUGGAUGGCUUGAGGUUGGGAGAGGGAUGCGGAAUUCCAGGUGUAGCGGUGAAAUGCGUAGAUAUCUGGAGGAACACCGGUGGCGAAGGCGGCAUCCUGGACCAAUUCUGACACUGAGGAGCGAAAGCCAGGGGAGCAAACGGG
rnacentral:rRNA from 1 species